AACGCUGGCGGCAUGCCUAACACAUGCAAGUCGAACGGGAGUAGCAAUACUCUAGUGGCGGACGGGUGAGGAAUACGUAGGAAUUUGCCCUUAAGUGGGGGAUAACCCGGGGAAACCCGGAUUAAUACCGCAUGACCUCGAAAGAGCAAAGUGGGGGAUCGCAAGACCUCACGCUUUUGGAGAAGCCUACGUCGGAUUAGCUAGUUGGUGAGGUAAUGGCUCACCAAGGCGACGAUCCGUAACUGGUCUGAGAGGAUGAUCAGUCACACCGGAACUGAGACACGGUCCGGACUCCUACGGGAGGCAGCAGUGGGGAAUAUUGGACAAUGGGCGCAAGCCUGAUCCAGCAAUGCCGCGUGUGUGAAGAAGGCCUUCGGGUUGUAAAGCACUUUAAGUUGGGAAGAAAAAACUCGCUCUAACACAGUGAGUCUUGACGGUACCGACAGAAUAAGCACCGGCUAACUCUGUGCCAGCAGCCGCGGUAAUACAGAGGGUGCAAGCGUUAAUCGGAUUUACUGGGCGUAAAGCGUGCGUAGGCGGUUCGUUAAGUCGAUUGUGAAAGCCCUGGGCUUAACCUGGGAAUUGCAGUCGAUACUGGCGGACUAGAGAACGGUAGAGGGAGGCGGAACUCCAGGUGUAGCGGUGAAAUGCGUAGAUAUCUGGAAGAACACCGAUGGCGAAGGCAACCUCCUGGGCCUGUUCUGACGCUGAGGCACGAAAGCGUGGGUAGCAAACAGGAUUAGAUACCCUGGUAGUCCACGCUGUAAACGAUGAGAACUUGACGUCGGGUCGCUUAGCGAUUCGGUGUCGAAGCUAACGCGCUAAGUUCUCCGCCUGGGGA
rnacentral:rRNA from 1 species